UGAGACUAUGGGUGUCAUUAUGUGUGAGAUGGAUCUUUUCAAAGACAGCAGAUGGAUGGGUCUGGGUUUUUAAAUACAACUUGUAAUCUGUGCCUUUUAAGUGGGUCGUUUAGGCUGUUUAUAGUCAAGAUCAAUAUUUUUUGUUUGUUUGUUUGUUUGUUUGAGACAGAGACUUGCUCUAUUGCCCAGGCUGGAGUACAAUGGCACGAUCUCGGCUUACUGCAACCUCUGCCUCCUGGGUUCAAGUGAUUCUCCUGCCUCAGCCUCCCAAGUAGCUGGGAUUAUAGGUGUGCACCACCAUGCCCAGCUAAUUUUUUGUAGUUUUAGUAGACACUGGGUUUCACCAUGCUGGGCAGGCUGGUCUCGAACUCUUGACCUUGUGAUCCACCCGCCUCAGCCUCCCAAAGUGCUGGGAUUACAGGCGCGAGCCACUGUGCCCGGCCCAAGGUUAAUAUUUAUAUGUGAGUUUUUGAUCCUAUCAUGAAGGUGACAGCUGUUUUCCUUGUAGUAUGUAUUGGGUUGUUGCUAUCUACUGUCUCUGAGCUAUGCAUUUAACUGUAUUCUUGCAACAGUAGGUGUUGUUCUCUUAUUUCCAUCUUUAGACCUCGUUUAAGCAUCUCUUGUAAAGCUGGUCUAGUGGUAACACAUUUUCUCAGUGACUGCUUGUCUGGAAAAGAUUUUUUUUUCUUCUUUGCUUAUGAAGCUUAGUUUGAUGGGAUAGGAAAUUUUGUUUGGAAUUUAUUGUCUUUAAGAAUGCUGAAAAUAGGCCCCAAAAGAUUGGGUUCUUUCGACACCUAGUCAAAAAUGAAAGUGUUAUCCUCAUGAAAAUGUACUCACUAAUAUGGUAUGUACAAUAGUUAGUGUAUCAUGAAGUUUGUUUUUAUUUUAUGUUAUUUCGUUUUUCAUUUUACCCAAGUGAGACCCAAAUUGUUUUAUUUUAUAGGAUUUCUUGAUUUUCACAUUUGUAGGGUGCAGACCUGUGUAGUGAACUGCUCACAGCAAGGAUGUAUGCCUGUGAGGUGGCACAGACCCGAUGGAUCAGACUUGGCCUCCAUCCUCCUCUUAUCCUGAUGAAAUCUGACAGCUCCAGACAACACAGAUGUAAAACUUUGACCAACAGUAAGAUGGCUUGAAGAAAUACUUCUUUCAGGACAAACUCUUUCUGCGCAUUCCAUAAGAUAACCCUCUGUAUUAUGUAAGCCUCAGACCUCACGGAACCUGGGUUGUCUGUGGUCAUAGUGCUGAGAAUCCACCUGCCCAAGGAAUGACCGCACUUGUUCCUGCUUCCCAGGCCUCCAAUGGAUUUAUCUCUCCUUCCAG
rnacentral:lncRNA from 1 species